CGACCCAGUCUUCUUGAAUCAAUACGCAGUCCAAGCCCAAAUGAGCAGCAACAGCUGCGACUUGCCUAGUUUGAUUAGACUGUAUACCACCAAUAGAGACUAAUGUAUCAUAGCCACCAUCGAUUGCUUCAGGGAUUAAAUAUUCCAACUUUCUAAUUUUGUUACCACCAAAUGCGAGACCUGAAUUGCAAUCCUCACGCUUUGCGAAAAUUUCAACUUUUCCACCCAAUGUUUUAGAUAGUCUCUUCAUAGAGGUGAUAGGAGUGGGACCAAAGGUCAAGGGAUAUUUCUUAAACUGUUCUAAACCCAUUGUAAUGUUUGUUAAACGAGACUGAAUAAAAGACGAUUUGAUGAGUGCCUACAUUUUUGCUUCAAUAUAUACACUAACUUGUUUAAUCGGUAAUUAAUUUCCGUUGUCCGAUUAGUCCGAUUUAACUUAGUUUUAUCAUGGAAUUGCAAUGCACUGCUAGACCUCAAGCAACUUCUUAAUCUACUGUAAUCAACGAUAAUGGUUGAUAAUCGGAUACGCCGGGGUUGUUCCUGAGGUUGUAUUAAACGCCGAAUUAUUUUAACGAGGUGCAGCAAAUACGCAAGUACUCUUACAAACAUGUUAUUAUGGAUACUGUGGCAGAACGAAGUAAAUUUUUUGAUAAAUUCUAUUAAAUAUUAUACCUAGCAGUCCAUCAUCACUGCCAUCAAACAAUUAAGUAAAGAUUUAUCGUUUGUAUAUGAUAUUCCUAGGCAACAACCAAAUAAAAUGCACAUUAGUGGUGCUAGCUCUAUGUUUUUCAUUUCAAUACUUACAACGUACAAGUUAGCACAAUAAGUAUUGCAUUUGUAUAAUUUAAGCGUUAAAUGAGUGUUAUCAACUGACUGAUUUGC